rnacentral:tmRNA from 1 species
GGGGUCGACUGGAUUUGACAGCGAUUUAGUAAUAUUGGUAAGCAAAUCGAGCGAUUAGUUAUAGCUCGUUAAUAUCAACUAAAAACUUUAAAUGGCGAAAAUAAAUACGCUCUUGCUGCUUAAGACUGAAUUAUAGUAGGUUUUAGCCACGUCCUACCAGGUAGGAAAGCGAGAUGUCUCAAAGUUAUUUUUGUUGGCAAUAACUUUAUAUGAGAUACCAUAAUGUUAACAUAGAAUAACUAAUGCUUCGAUAGUUAUUUGAAAUUUUGAAGCUAAGUAGUGUUUGUGUAGUUUUCAGCUAGAACACUAUCGAAAACUAAGUGAAAACUAAAUUUGUAGAAAGCUGAUGUUUCAGUCGUUUGGACGAGGGUUCGAAUCCCUCCGACUCCACCA